GGGGAGGGGUGGGACGCGCAAGGCUGUGGCCGCCCCUGCGCCACACUUCCGCCUGGCUUCCCAGAAGUUAGCCUGGCCCUCACCUCCACUGCAGACAAAAGCCUCCCCUCCUCAGGGUAGAGCGGGAAGCAGAGUGGCACAGGCAGGUAGGUGACCCCGAGGACCGUCCCUUCCUAGCAGGUGCUCGCCGCUGUCCACUUUUCUGUGUCCCGGAGUGCCCUGCCCUCUUCUGGCCCCAGUCCCCCAAGCCCUUCUCUUCAGGUCUCUGGGUCCCCUCCAACCAGACUCCUCCUGGGCUCCUACAGCCCUGCUGGGGUAGGAGGCUUGGUGGCACCUGGGCCCCUCUCCGACCACUCUCCACCUCUGGCCGGCAGGGCUCCUCUCGGGGCCUUGGACUGUUUGUCCUGCACCCUGAUCUCCUUUGGUGGCCGGUGCUGUCUGCCCUGAGAGCCCACUGGCAUGACCGCUAGGGAUCUGGACUCCCCUCCUCGGACUCUUGUGUAUCCCCACCAGGCUCUGCCCGAGUCACGGGCCUUCUGCCCGAAUGACCUGGUUGUUCCUCGGGAACAUCCGGUCAGCACCCAGGCGGGCAAAGGUAGGGGUGCAGCUACCACUACCCAGCUGGACGACCCCUCCUGGCCAUGGGACAGAAGCUUGGAUGCGAGAGCAGGUUUGCCCUGGAGCCACCUGGGGUGCAGCGCCUCUCACAGCCUCUGAUUGGAUAGUCCUAGGCAUUCAACAGGCUUUUCUCCUCCAGCGAAACUGGGAAUGACCCAGAGGAGUCUGCCAUACCCUGUCCAAAGCCUCCUAGCUCCUGCCUGCUGGCCGCACUUGGCCUCCUGCUCCAAAUGAGCCUGUGCCCACAUGGCUGUCCUUCAAAGGACCACAACAUAGCCUCUCUGAGAAGUACCCAGCUGAGAAAUUAGCCCCGGGCCCCAACAAAGUAAAAAAGCUGGAUCCUGGGGCCUGGGAGACUAGAGGGGUCGAGGGUGGCAGGUGAAGGCUUGGGAGGUGCUGGAGUAUGGGAGCAGUGCUGCAUGGGGCUCCCGGAGGGAGGCGCCAGGGGUUUCUCGAGGGCCCUGGGCACCCCGAAGGGCCCAAGUCCCACGGAGACGGCACUCUCCACUGGGCACAGCCCUACCCGCCAUGGCGAGCAUUGAGGCGCUCCAUGUACUGGGCCGCCACGUCCACGGCCUCGGCUUCCGGAAGCUGUAGAUUGCCGGACACGUUGCAGCGCAGGUCGUUCCAGUCUGAGCGCAGCAGCUCGAAGUCCACAGCGCCCACGCUGAAUGUGCGCUGCCAGUCGAUAGCAUCUUCUCGCCAGUGCCCGGGCACGCGGCCCGCGGCAUCCUCCUCGCUGUCCUCUGAGGCCACCUCGUCGCCAGGGGCCCGGUCCUCCUCCUCCCCCUCGCCCUCGGCGAGCAGCUGCGGCCGGGACACCUGGGACAAGCUCAGGAAGGAGGUCAUGGGCUGCGCGGCAGCCGAGGAGUUCACAUCCGGUGUGGGCGCGUGGGCCUGCGGGGCCCCGAGGGUGGACGGCGCGGGGGGCUCUGUGCCUGGGGGCCCGCGGGACCUGCGCCGGGGCCGAGGUGCACGCAGCUGCGCUCGUGGCACGGCGCGGGCACGCAGGAGGACGCCGGCCAGGGGAGGCCAGGCCGGGCCACGUGGGGACACCCGCGGUCGGGGCCGCACGCGCGUCACAUACACCUUGGCAGGAGGCUUCUCAGCGGCGCGCGGGGGUGGCGCGUGGCCCAGGAAGAGGGACAGGGGGCGCAUGGCCCAGCGCAGCGCGGGAGUGGCGGGACUGAGGGCCGUGGGAAGCUGAGAGCUCUGGCUCGCGCUCCGCCAGCGGUGGUGUGGGAGGCCUGCGUCCGCUCCGCGGUGGGCCCACCUCGGUGGGCUCCAGGCUGUCCAGCAGCUCCCCCUCGUCCUCUUCGUCCAGGAAGUCUGCAGGCAGCGGAGGUGAGCGGGCGGCCAGGGCCAGCGGGGCUGCGGGGCGGGGUGGGCGUGGGGAGGCUCACCCUCGGGGCUGAGGAACAAGAAGGCCCGGCGCUGCUGCUCCUCCUCCCCGUCCUCCCCUUCCUGCUUGUCCAUCUUCAUGUAUUUGUAGAAACCGAACCUGGAGCAGCAGAGCGUCAGAGCCGCCGUCCUGGUGAGGCCUCACCCCGUGCCCUCCGGCCCACCUACCUUUCCAGGUACCGGGGAGAUUCUCGGUAGAAGCACUUGUUCUCCGUCUCCAUGUGCGUGAGGCGGGUGUAGUCAUUGGGAUACACGAAGGACAGGUAUACCUGGGGGAGAGGCGAGGCGAGGGCUCAGGGCCUCCGGGGAACGAGGGGGUGCCUGGAGCACAGUGGGGCUCUGGUCUGGGCACGUACAAACUGCAGCCCCUGGUAUCUGGCGAUGGGGAAGUCCUUGAGAACGUAGGUAGGUGCGUAGGCACAGGGCUCCAGCACGCUCUCCAGGCUCCAGGGCUCUAUCCGGGGUGCUGUGGGCGGGGUCCUUGUCAAGGGCUGGGCCGGUCCGCCCCAGCCCAGCCCAGCCCGGCCUGGCCAGGCCCCUCCACUCCCUGGGGGCCGGCUCACUGAGGAAGAAGCUGUCCCUGGGGUCUGGGCGCAGCAUGUCUGCGCUGGACUCCUCCUUGGGCAGGUGGCCCCUGACAUGGCUGGCUGGAGACUGGGGCACGUGGGCCACAUGGUCCAUCUUCAGGGAGGACUCAUCUGUGGGCCCAAGGUUGAUCCAGGUCCUCCUUCCCGCCCAGCUGGGCCACCCCCAGAGCCGCUGCCUCCCCAGGUGCCCAGAGUACCUGUGUAAAGGGAGAUGUGAGCAGCGCUGAUGACUUCAAACUUCAGGCCCGGCAGGCUCCUCCCCAGCUCAUGGGUUUUCCUGGAAUGGACAUCCCACUGGCUUGUUCUCAGGACAGUCUGCACAGUCCAGCACCACCCCGCACUCCCCCACCUGGCCGCCGGACCCCUCGGGGGCUGGAAUUAAUAUGCUGCAUAUCCCACUCCCAAUUCUACUUUUCCACCUCCAGGCGGACUGUCACUCAUCAGCAAGGCUCUUCUGUGCCCCUUGCAGUGGGGACCACACUGUUGUGCCCUUGGGCGAGGUAGAAGCUGGAUGGGGAGGGGAGGCACUCACACCCACUUCCACAUGGUCUGAGCCCCGGUCAUCCUGCUUGUGAAGCAGUUCAAAGUAGUACCUCCGGGAGGCCAUGAGCCUAUGGAGAGAAGGCAAGGCUUGCCUUUCAUACAGAACAGAUGGACAGCCGGGACGGGCAGCAGCUCCCAGGCCUCCUGGCUAGUCGCUUGGGGACAGUGGUCUGGCCAGGAUGGUGCUGGUACAGUGUGUGACAGGGUACAGAGGCUGAGGAGAUGCCACUGGCCUUCUUCUCACAUGCUAACACACGUGUGCAUAUGCACACAAUUGCUGGUACACACGUGUCAGUCACACACACCAACACACAGGUGAAUACACACAUAUGCUUGUGUACACACCCUAGUCACACAUACCAACAUGUGCAUAUGAGUACUUGUGCAAACGCCAGUCAUUCACAUACACCAAGUGUGUAAACACAAGUGCUUAUACACACAAGUCAUACACCAACACACACACAAACAUGUGCUUGUAAACGCACCACUGACAUACCAACACAUGCAUAUACACGAGUGCUGGUACACACACCAGCAUGUGUGCAUACACAGAUCAAUGUUUGCAUAUACAUCACAGUCACAGACACCAACAUGUGUGCACAAAGUGCUUUACACAUAUCCUAGUCACACACACCACCACACACAUGCAUACACACAUGAAUGGUUAUACACAC
rnacentral:lncRNA from 1 species